rnacentral:rRNA from 1 species
CCUACGGAGGGCUGCAGUGGGGAAUAUUGGACAAUGGGGGGAACCCUGAUCCAGCCAUGCCGCGUGUGUGAAGAAGGCCCUCGGGUUGUAAAGCACUUUCAGUGAGGAAGAACGCCUGGUGGUUAAUACCCAUCAGGAAAGACAUCACUCACAGAAGAAGCACCGGCUAACUCCGUGCCAGCAGCCGCGGUAAUACGGAGGGUGCGAGCGUUAAUCGGAAUUACUGGGCGUAAAGCGCGCGUAGGUGGCUUGAUAAGCCGGUUGUGAAAGCCCCGGGCUCAACCUGGGAACGACAUCCGGGACUGUCAAGCUAGAGUGCAGGAGAGGAAGGUAGAAUUCCCGGUGUAGCGGUGAAAUGCGUAGAGAUCGGGAGGAAUACCAGUGGCGAAGGCGGCCUUCUGGACUGACACUGACACUGAGGUGCGAAAGCGUGGGUAGCAAACAGGAUUAGAUACCCCAGUAGUC